rnacentral:snRNA from 1 species
GUGCUUACUUCAGCAGCGCAUGCACUGAGAGGGAAAUGAUACAGAGAAGAUCAGCAUGGCUCCUGCACAAGGAUGCCACACCAAUUUGGGAGGCUGUCCAACCCUUU